UUAUAAGUAGCUCAUAAUUAAAAUUGUUCAAUUGAUAAAAUAUUACUAAUAUUAGCCAAUUAGCUAUUUGUAACAAAAUAAAUUCAAAUUUUUGCUUUGUUUAGAGUAGGUGUUAUUAGAAAAGAUAGGGCACAACUUAAGGAGCUUGAAUCUCAGUUUUGAGAUGAUUUGGUGAAGUUUUUGGGUGGAUUGAAUUGAAUAUUCGAAGUAAAGUUGAAGAUGAAAAAAAAA
rnacentral:lncRNA from 1 species